rnacentral:tRNA from 1 species
AGCCCCGUGGUGUAGCGGCCAAGCAUACAGGCCUUUGGAGCCUGUGACCGCGGAAAUCCCUUUUCUUGAUAAGAAAAGGUCUUACAACCCCCAAAAGAAAACUUUUCGCGGAAUUCGAAUCCGCGCGGGGCUA